GGAGUAAGUCAGACGGUUGCGCCUUAUUUAAAGGUGAGGAAAGUCCGGGCUUUACAGAGCAGGGUGCCGGCUAACGGCCGGCGGAGGCGACUUUAGGGAUAGUGCAACAGAAAAUAAACGCCAACACAUUGUUGGUAAGUGUGGAAACGUGCGGUAAGAGCGCACGGCGUCCAUAGGUAACUAUGGAGGCGUGUAAACCCCACCCAAAGCAACUUUGGGAACGUUAAGCUUGCUCGGCGUGUUCCCUUGAAAGGCUUGAGCGUACUGGUAACUUUACGUCGAGAUAGAUAAUCGUCAAAUACAGAAUCCGGCUUACAGAUUUGCUCCUUUA
rnacentral:RNase_P_RNA from 1 species